rnacentral:rRNA from 1 species
GACGAACGCUGGCGGCGUGCUUAACACAUGCAAGUCGAACGGAAAGGCCCUGCUUUUGUGGGGUGCUCGAGUGGCGAACGGGUGAGUAACACGUGAGUAACCUGCCCUUGACUUUGGGAUAACUUCAGGAAACUGGGGCUAAUACCGGAUAGGAGCUCCUGCUGCAUGGUGGGGGUUGGAAAGUUUCGGCGGUUGGGGAUGGACUCGCGGCUUAUCAGCUUGUUGGUGGGGUAGUGGCGUACCAAGGCUUUGACGGGUAGGCGGCCUGAGAGGGUGACCGGCCACCUUGGGACUGAGAUACGGACCAGUCUCCUACGGGCCGCAGCAGUGGGGAAUCUUGCACAAUGGGCGGACGCCUGAUGCAGCAACGCCGCGUGCGUGAUGACGGCUUUCGGGUUGUAAACCGCUUUCGCCUGUGACAAACCCUGCGUGACGGUACUGGGUCAAGAAGCAACGGCUAACUACGUG